rnacentral:lncRNA from 1 species
UUCAGGGAAAAGUUAUUUAUAACAUUACACACAGGGUCAUCACUGCUACCCCCUCCCCCCCCUUAAAAAAAAACUCUAAUGCUACUCUUAUCACUUGGCUAAGAGUUAACUUCCAAAAACAAAUAAAUACCUCAUCCAUGCGACCAUUGAAUGUCUUACUUUGUUACUUCUUUUGGGUUAUUUGGACCCACCAUAACAAACGUAUAUUUGAGGGAAAAUUGUUGCACCA